rnacentral:lncRNA from 1 species
CUGGUCGAUCGGUUAAACAAAGAAAGAAAGAAACAGCUCAUUAAUGAUCCAUCGAUCGAUCCAAGUACAUGCGUCCUGAUGAUUCUUCAGCGGAAACAGAAGCUAGCAAUUAAUAAGACAGCACGGCCAGCUGCAUGUCUGCCUGGCAGUGGCAGGGAACCGUGGUUCCUCUCGGCCGGCCGGCUACAUGGUGAUGACCCAGACGAGGAGCUCGUGCGAUGGCACGGGCGCCCCCCGGCGGCGGCAGCCCCGUCGUCGCGCUGGCCGUUCCGGCGGGCGAUGUGGCUUCCCCCGGCGGAGGUCUGGACGCGAAGGUUCGCCUGAGCUUUGGCAAGCCGCGCCGCCGUGGGGUGGGCCGCCGGCUUACGCUGGCUCCAGCUCCGGCUGAGCAUGAUGUUCCCGGAGUCGGUUUUGGCUUUGGGAUUCCGGUUGAUGAGUUAAGCUCUGCCGAAGAGGAUGAAGAUGGGGGGUUGGUGACGGUUCGUCGACGGCGUGGAUGGGGACUGGUGCUCGGAAGAUGGCGGCGCGACGGCCAUGGCGAGGGCCGCUUCCGCCGGCUAGGGUGUCCCCACACCUCACUUUGGCGGACGUUCUGGCCAGGGCGCGGACUUUCCAUGGUCAUGCUGGCCGUGGGCAUGCCCCUGGUGUCUUGUUGGCUCACGCCUCGGCUUCCUCUCCGGUGCAUGCUUCAGCUUCCUCUCCGGCGCCGUCUUGCGUUUCUGCUGGGGGACGGACGAACUCGUCGUUCCUCGCGUCGCGACCAGGCAUACGGGUGCUCGGAGAUCGAUCUGCUGGGCCGGGCCGAGCCAUUGUAAUUGGCGUUGAGGGAAGAAAAGCCCAUUUCACCUUCACGGACGGUCUUUGCGGCUUGUUUGGGAACGCGGGGCGCCCGAGGGGUUUCUCUUCUCCUGCUCGCGCGCCGCCGGACGGUGUCCAUCCGCUUGCCUCGGCCUUUCAAGUCGCGGCCUCCUCGCCAUUGGAGCCGGUUGUCGUGCAGGCGAAGUUCGGGGCGAAGACGAAGUCCGUUGUUGCCAUGGAUCGCCGCGGUGCUGGAGGCCAUGGUCGGGGCUCGGACCGCGACGUCGCAAGUCAGGGUCGGGGCGGGGGUCACGGCGUGGAUCCCGGUCUGUUCCAUGGCGGCGGCGGCGGAGAGUUUCCGGGAAGCAAUCUCGGUUUCGAUCCAGGGUACGGUGGCGAUGAUCGUGACCGUGGCUGGCAGCGGGGUGGUUUCCGGCCGCGUGGCCCCCGUGGCUUCGCUCCUCGUCGCGGGGGUUUCGCUGGCAGACGUUGGCACGGCGCUCGGGCUGGCCACCAUGGCCAUCAAUCCUGGGACCCUGCAACGGCGGGCAGGGGCUACCGCCCGGUUCAGGCUGUCCAGGCGGCUGCUAGGCCCCCGCCUGCUCCUGCGCCUGGGAUGGAUGAUGCUACAGCAGCUGCUGCUGUCACCGUGCCGGCGUUAGUCGUCGGCUCUGAUGCUGCUGCAGGUGCUUGGAACCAGGAGACAGUGGCGGGAGAUAGGGAGGUGCACAGGACAGGGAAGAAGGAGAAGAACUGUAGCCGCUGUGGUUUGAAGGGGCACUUGGGUGCUGAGUGCUCUACCAAGUUGUAUUGUGUAAUUUGUGAUGGCCAUGAUCAUAUCAACCACCGUUGCCAUUUGCUCAAGCAACCUCGACCUGUGGCACAUGCUGUCGGAUAUGCGGUGUCUGGCUUGGGUUUUUACCAUAUACCUCAUCCGCCACUCUCCAGGAAAAAGGACUCCAAAACAGCCCUUGUUUCGGUUGUUGGUAGUAAUCUUUCGGGUGAUCAGUUGGUGGCGCAAUUGCAGCGUAUUGUUUCAAGCAAGUGGAAUUGGGAACCUGUUGUUCAUGAGCAGAACUCUUUCAUUGUCGCGUUUCCAUCUAAGAAUGAGCUACAGAGGGCCAUUGCUUUUGGGGGUGCGGAUGUCCGUGAUAAAGAUGUGCCCAUGGGGACAAGGAUGCAAUUUGAGGAAUGGCAUGAGGAGGAGGAAGGUUUUCUGUUACCUAAGGUUUGGAUUCGGGUCACUGGAAUCAGGAAAAAAUUGAGAGAAUUUUUGAAUCUCUGGGCCAUUGGGUCUAUGCUUGGGUCUACACAAACGGUUGAUAUGGAAACUACUCGCAAGAACAAUUUUGGCCGGGUGUUGGUUGCUGUGUUAGAUCCCAAGUUGUUGCCGACAAAAUUGGAUGCUGUUAUCGGCGACCACUACUUUGAAUUAAGAUUCGAGGUCGAAUCUGUGGGCUUUGAUGAAAAUGGUGAUGAAGUGAACCAGAAUUUUGGGGAUGGAAAUGAUGGCGACAAUGAGGACAUGGAUGAAGAUGAUCCCAUUGAUAGCAGUAGCUUGGACAGAGAGGGGAAGCGCUCUAAGAAGGACCUCUCUGGCAACCAAAAUGGAAGUGACAAUUCUAUGGGAAUGGGUGGGGCUGCCCCUGGUGGCACCUCUGCAGCCCCUGUUUUGGCACUUGAGCAUGGAGUAGAUACGGAGGAAAAAAUUAGGAAAAUGGCAAAUGAAAUUAUGGAUAUGGCCGUGGAUAUGUCGCUUGACUUUUGUGUUGACAAAGUUCUCGCGGAGGAAGAUGGCGAAUACUUGGAAGGAGCAGCUGAUGGCAUUUCUAUUGACAUGGUGGCUGAAUCUCCCACUGUUUGUCCCAUGAAGGUUGUGAUUGCUGGCUCACUAGAUGGUGUGCUGGUGGACAAUUUGCCUGCUGCGUUUUCUGUGGUUGGAGGGGUAUCUGAUGAUGGUGUGUGCAGUGGUGGAUCUCCUUCUGAGGCCUUGUUGAUGGCUGAUACUGGGGCCACAAUGGUGGCUGCUGAUCUGGUGCAGGAAUCGCAUCCUAGUCGGCCGCUGGAAAGCCUUGCGGUUUAUGCGCGCCGUGGGGCUGUCUCUGCGCCGCCUUGCUCCAGGAGGGGGCUGCAGCAGCCUGGACUUGGCGCCCUCUCAUCAGAUAUGCUGGUGGCCGCUGCGGGGAUCAAGGAGGUGGUGUCGCAGCCUACACGUUCAAGCCCAAGGCUUGCGGGCGGGGCUGACCACCACAUUUUGGAGAAGGCCAAGCUGAGGGCUGCAUGGAGGAAUCUUGACGGUCCAGGUAACUCCAUAUCCUCUGGCCCUUUCUCUCUUCCUAAUGAUGUUAUCUCUACUAUGGUUAGCAAUCUAGGGGUAUCCCUAGGUUCUAAUCAAAAACAAGUUUCAGAUUCAGUUUCUCUUUUAAAUAGACUUGAGCUCCACAAUUCUGAACCCCAAUUAGAUAGUAGCACGUUUUUUUCUGGUUCAGAGUUUGUACAUUGUGAUAAUGAUGAAGUGGACAAGUAUGAAUCUGACAAUCUCGCUCUCGGACACUUAUGUGGUGACUUUGUGGAGGAGGUUAUGGAUGAGGACAGUGAUCACCUAAGUUGUGAUUUCCACACUGUCUUUAAGAAAAAUAAAUCAAAAGGCUCCUCAAGAAGCAAAGGUAGCAUAAAAAUAAAGUUGGUUAAGAAACAUAAAAGGUGUACAAAAUGAAAGGAAUUUUUUGGAAUAGCAGAGGUCUUGGUGACUUGGCUAAAUUCAGGUUCCUUUCCGAUAUUAGUAAAGAAGAGAAGCUAGACUUCAUUGCGUUACUCGAAACAGGAAAAAAUGAUUUCACACAAAGUACAUUGAAUAAUAUUUGUGCUGGUCGGGACUUCUUAUGGCACUGGUCGAAACCUCACGGUAGGUCCGGAGGCAUCCUACUUGGUGUAAAUCUGGAAGUUUUUGACAUCGGUAGUAUUGAUGUGGGUGACUUCUAUGUGAAGUUCCAUCUACGAAACAAGGAUGAUGGCUUUAGUUGGGUUCUGGUGGCGGUCUAUGGGGCUGCACAAGAUGAAUUCAAGGAAUCUUUUCUGGCUGAACUGGUGCAAACUUGUGCCAAAGAAAACCUGCCGCUUAUUGUUGGUGGUGAUUUUAAUAUCAUUAGGAACCAACAUGAAAAAAAUAAGGAUAACUACAAUGAUAGAUGGCCUUUCCUUUUUAAUGCAGUCAUUGAUAGCUUGGAUCUCCGGGAAUUGGGAUUAUCAAAUCGGAAAUUCACUUGGGCUAACUCUAGAAGCGUACCCACCUUUGAGACUCUUGACCGUAUCUUGGUUACUACCGAGUGGGAGUCAAAGUAUCCUUUGACAACGGUUCAAGCUUUGACGAGAGAAAUUUCUGACCACACCCCACUGCUCAUGAACACGGGAAGUGGAACCCACUCAAACAAUCAGCCUCCUUUUAAAUUUGAGCUCGGCUGGUUUCUGAGAGAAGGUUUCUCGGAUAUGGUGACACGGGUUUGGAAAAAUGAGAAUAGAGGUUGGACCCCUCUACAAAAAUGGCAGUUCAAAAUUCAAAGACUACGCCAAUUCCUAAGGGGUUGGGCGAAAAAUACCAGUGGUGCAUAUAAAAAAGAAAAAGAGCAAAUUAUUAAGAAGGCUGAUGAUUUAGACAAAAAGGCCGAAACGCAGAUGCUUACUGCUCAAGAACUCGACUUAAAGCAGUGUCUAAAGCAGCGUCUAGCUCACAUGCUAAGAGAGGAAGAAAUUAGAUGGUACCAAAGAGCCAAAACAACUAAGUUGUUACAGGGUGAUUGUAAUACUAAGUACUUCCAGCUGGUAGCAAAUGGGAAACAUAGAAAAACGAGGAUAUUCCGGUUAGAACAAGAGAACUGCACUAUUGAGGGUGAUGAAAAUCUUAAAAGAUUUAUCACUAGCUAUUACAAGGGCCUCUUUGGUGCAUCAGAACCCAACCAUUUUUCCAUGGUUGAAUCAGUCAGAGACGAUAUCCCACAGGUAACGGACCUGGAAAAUGAAAUUCUUACUUCACCAUUUAUGAUGGAUGAAGUCAAGAAGGCAAUCUUCCAGAUGGAACAUAAUAAGGCACCAGGACCUGAUGGCUUCCCAGCUGAAUUUUAUCAAGUCUUCUGGGACGUAAUCAAAGACGAUUUACUAUGCCUCUUUCUUGAGUUCCAUAAGGGAAAUCUGCCCCUAUACUGUCUCAACUUUGGUAUAAUUACUUUACUCCCCAAGCUAAAAGAGGCCAAACAAAUUCAACAAUUUAGACCUAUAUGUCUACUUAAUGUGAGCUUUAAGAUUUUUACCAAGGUAAUGACGAACCGUGUGGCUCUAGUAGCACAGAAAGUCAUUAAGCCUUCUCAAACUGCUUUCAUGUCAGGAAGAAACAUUAUGGAGGGAGUCGUUAUUUUACACGAGACGAUCCACGAGUUACACAGGAAGAAGCUUGAUGGCGUCGUACUAAAACUCGACUUUGAGAAGGCCUACGACAAGGUCAAUUGGUCCUUUCUCCAACAAGCUUUGCGCAUGAAAGGCUUUUCCCCCCAGUGGUGCAAUUGGAUCAGCCAAAUUGUCGAGGGAGGUAGUGUCGGUAUCAAAGUCAAUGACGACAUUGGCCACUACUUUCAAACAAAGAAAGGACUUAGACAAGGUGAUCCUCUGUCUCCGAUCCUCUUUAAUAUCGUUGCGGACAUGUUGGCCAUUUUAAUUGAGAGAGCAAAGAAUACUGUUGACUUAGUAGGAUUAGUACCACACUUAGUGGAUGGAGGACUCUCUAUACUUCAAUAUGCUGAUGAUACUAUCCUAUUUAUGGAACACGACCUCGAUAAGGCCAAAAAUCUUAAACUAGUGUUAAGUACUUUUGAGCAGCUAUCGGGUCUUAAAAUAAACUUCCAUAAGAGCGAGCUAUAUUGCUAUGAAGAGGCUAAAGAUUUUGAGCAUGAAUAUGCAAAUCUUUUUGGGUGCAAAACUGGUUGUGUUCCCUUUAAAUACCUUGGAAUCCCCAUGCACCAUAGGAAGUUAUCAAACAACGACUGGAAGAUAAUUGAGGAAAAAUUUCAGAAAAAACUCAGUAGUUGGAAAGGAAAAUUGUUGUCAGUAGGGGGUAGGCUAGUUCUGAUUAAUUCUGUGCUUACUAGCCUUGCCAUGUAUAUGUUGUCUUUCUUUGAGAUACCGAAAGGUGUGCUUAAAAAACUCAACUACUAUCGCUCACGUUUCUAUUGGCAAUGUGAUGAACACAAGAAGAAAUACAGGCUCACUAAGUGGAGCAUCUUGUGUAGGCCUACAGACUGUGGGGGUUUAGGCAUCCAGAAUUUGGAAACCCAAAACAAGUGUCUUUUGAGUAAGUGGCUUUUCAAGUUAAUUAAUGAGGAAGGCAUUUGGCAAAAUCUUCUAAGAAGGAAAUAUUUGUCACAUAAAAACCUUGCCCAAGCUCAAAGACAGCCCGGGGAUUCCCAUUUCUGGUCUGGACUCAUGAAAGUGAAAGACCAAUUCUUACACUUCGGACGUUUCAAAGUUCAUAAUGGAAAGGAAACUAGAUUCUGGGAGGACAACUGGGUUGGUGAUAGGUGUCUUAAAAUCGCCUAUCCUAACCUCUAUCAGAUUGUGCGCAAAAAGUCCGCAACGGUAGCCGAGGUGCUAAGCACCACACCGCUAAAUGUGACCUUUCGAAGGGCAUUAACGGGCGUUAACUUGGAGUCGUGGUACAAAUUGGUGGCAUGUGUCCUCAACACUAGCCUUACAGGUGAUAGGGACAUUUUCAUUUGGAAUUUACACAAAAGUGGGGUAUUCUCAACACGCUCUUUCUAUAGGGUAUUGAUUUGUGAUGGUAUUGUUCCACUUAAGUCCCCAAUCUGGAAGAUUAAGGUACCACUUAAAAUUAAAAUUUUCCUGUGGUACAUCAAAAAUGGAGUUACUCUCACUAAAGAUAACCUUGCAAAGCGGGAUUGGAAAGGAAAUCUAAAAUGUUGUUCGUGUAGUUCUCUAGAGACUAUUGAACAUCUUUUCAUCCAAUGUCACUUCGCCCGCUUUAUUUGGAAUACAAUACAUAUCACCUUUGGAAUUCAACCUCCCUCUAGCACCCACGACUUGUUUGGUUCUUGGCUUGCUGGUUUUCGGCGAGCAUUUAGAAAUCAGAUUUGUGUAGGUUUUUCUGCUAUUUGUUGGGCUAUAUGGUUGAAUAGAAAUGAUAUGGUGUUCAAUUGCGCCAAGGCUAACACUUUCAUGCAGGUUAUUUUCAGGGCGACAUAUUGGGCACGUUCUUGGUCGCUGCUGCUUAGAGACGAGGACGCGAGGACCGAUCUGAACAGGGCAUGCCGCUUAUUGGAGUCGGUCGUUAUGGAGGUGUUCGCUAAGUUUGGGUGGAAGUUCUCAAAUAGAAUUGCGGCCUAGUCGUCUAGCUGUCUUGGGUAAACUUGGUUUUUUGAGUCUGUUUGUGAGCCUAAGCGCUUGUUGGAUGUAUCGAUACGCUGUGUACGCUGUCUUGGAUGGUGUAGAGGCUGGGACCUUAUUUCUGUUCCAUUAUCUAAAAAAAAAACAUGGUGAUGACCCAGACAGCGUAGAUGAUGCCUGGGAGGUAGCCGAAGAAGGUGAGGAUGAGGCAGAUCCAGAACUCAGCCUGCAACCAACAGUGUCAUGUCAUCUAUGGUAUGGAUCAGCAGCCACCGCCGCCCCCCCCCCCCCCCCCCCCCCCAGUCCCCCACCCACUCCCCCAGUAACAACACUCAACGCAUAUGCUUAGCUUUACCCCGCAGCCGAACUUGAAGAAGACCCCGAGCGGCGGCAGGAUGAUGGCGAGGAUGAUGUCGACGCAGGUGGCCGUGCCGUCCGACAUCUCUUUGCUGCUGCUUGUAAAGUCGAUCGACGGCCGCCGGAAGAUAUGGACAGAGAGCACAAGGCAGGUGGGGGGUGCGUGGUGAAUGCCAUGAGCUGGG